UACGAAGGGGGCUAGCGUUGUUCGGAAUUACUGGGCGUAAAGAGCGCGCAGGCGGUCGUACAAGUCGCGUGUGAAAGCCCCCGGCUCAACUGGGGAGGGUCACGCGAUACUGAUCGACUCGAAGGCAGGAGAGGGUAGUGGAAUUCCCGGUGUAGUGGUGAAAUGCGUAGAUAUCGGGAGGAACACCAGUGGCGAAGGCGACUACCUGGCCUGUUCUUGACGCUGAGGCGCGAAAGCUAGGGGAGCAAACGGG
rnacentral:rRNA from 1 species